UACAGAGGGGGCAAGCGUUGUUCGGAAUUACUGGGCGUAAAGGGCUCGUAGGCGGCCAACUAAGUCAGACGUGAAAUCCCACGGCUUAACCGGGGAACUGCGUCUGAUACUGGAUGGCUUGAGUUCGGGAGAGGGAUGCGGAAUUCCAGGUGUAGCGGUGAAAUGCGUAGAUAUCUGGAGGAACACCGGUGGCGAAGGCGGCAUCCUGGACCGAUACUGACGCUGAGGAGCGAAAGCCAGGGGAGCAAACGGG
rnacentral:rRNA from 1 species